rnacentral:rRNA from 1 species
AUUGAACGCUGGCGGCAGGCCUAACACAUGCAAGUCGAACGAGUGGCGGACGGGUGAGUAAUGUCUGGGAAACUGCCCGAUGGAGGGGGAUAACUACUGGAAACGGUAGCUAAUACCGCAUACCAUCGGAUGUGCCCAGAUGGGAUUAGCUUGUAGGUGAGGUAACGGCUCACCUAGGCGACGAUCCCUAGCUGGUCUGAGAGGAUGACCAGCCAAACGUGAACUGGGACACGGGCCAGACGCCUACGUGAGGCAGCAGGGGGGAAUAUUGCACAAGGGGCUCAAGCCUGAGGCAGCCAUGCCGCGUGUAUGAAGAAGGCCUUCGGGUUUUAAAGUACGUUCAGCGGGGAGGCGUUACCCUCAGAAGAAGCACCGGCUAACUCCGUGCCAGCAGCCGCGGUAAUAC